AGAGUUUGAUCCUGGCUCAGGAUGAACGCUAGCGACAGGCCUAACACAUGCAAGUCGAGGGGCAGCGGGGGUAGCAAUACCUGCCGGCGACCGGCGCACGGGUGCGUAACGCGUAUGGAACCUGGCCUACACAGCGGGAUAGCCUCUCGAAAGGGAGAUUAAUACCGCAUACAAUGUUGGUUAUGCAUGUAACUGACAUGAAAGAUUCAUCGGUGUAGGAUGGCCAUGCGUGACAUUAGGUAGACGGCGGGGUAACGGCCCACCGUGCCGACGAUGUCUAGGGGUCCUGAGAGGGAGGUCCCCCACACUGGUACUGAGACAGGGACCAGACUCCUACGGGAGGCAGCAGUGAGGAAUAUUGGUCAAUGGUCGGAAGACUGAACCAGCCAAGUCGCGUGAAGGAUGACGGCCCUAUGGGUUGUAAACUUCUUUUGCCGGGGGAUAAACCUGGCCACGUGUGGCCAGCUGAAGGUACCCGGUGAAUAAGCAUCGGCUAACUCCGUGCCAGCAGCCGCGGUAAUACGGAGGAUGCGAGCGUUAUCCGGAUUUAUUGGGUUUAAAGGGUGCGCAGGCGGGCCUUUAAGUCAGCGGUGAAAUCCCGUAGCUCAACUACGGAACUGCCGUUGAUACUGGAGGCCUUGAGUCGUGUCGAGGAUGGCGGAAUGCAGCGUGUAGCGGUGAAAUGCUUAGAUAUGCUGCAGAACUCCGAUUGCGAAGGCAGCUGUCCCAGAGACGAACUGACGCUGAGGCACGAAAGCAUGGGUAUCAAACAGGAUUAGAUACCCUGGUAGUCCAUGCAGUAAACGAUGAGCGCUCGCGGUUUGGGACUUGUCCUGAGCCGCUUAGCGAAAGCGUUAAGCGCUCCACCUGGGGAGUACGCCGGCAACGGUGAAACUCAAAGGAAUUGACGGGGGCCCGCACAAGCGGAGGAACAUGUGGUUUAAUUCGAUGAUACGCGAGGAACCUUACCCGGGCUUGAAAUGCAGACGACGGAGGCAGAGACGCCUCUUCACAGCAAUGUGCGUCUGUGUAGGUGCUGCAUGGUUGUCGUCAGCUCGUGCCGUGAGGUGUCGGCUUAAGUGCCAUAACGAGCGCAACCCUCGCCUCCAGUUGCCAGCGGGCAAAGCCGGGGACUCUGGAGGGACUGCCAACGCAAGUUGCGAGGAAGGUGGGGAUGACGUCAAAUCAGCACGGCCCUUACGUCCGGGGCUACACACGUGUUACAAUGGGCGGGACAGAGUGAAGCCAGGCGGUGACGCCGAGCCGAUCAUGAAACCCGCCCCUAGUUCGGACUGGAGUCUGCAACCCGACUCCACGAAGCUGGAUUCGCUAGUAAUCGCGCAUCAGCCAUGGCGCGGUGAAUACGUUCCCGGGCCUUGUACUCACCGCCGGUCA
rnacentral:rRNA from 1 species